rnacentral:rRNA from 1 species
AAACCUUGAUAGCGUCUUAAACUCGCUGUCCGCCCGGGUACUACGAGCGCCACUUAAAACCCAAAGGACUUGGCGGUGCUUUAAACCCACCUAGAGGAGCCUGUUCUAGAACCGAUACCCCCCGUUAAACCUCACCAACCCUGGCCCGCCCCCGCCUAUAUACCGCCGUCGUCAGCUUACCCUUUGAAGGCCCUAAAAGUAAGCAAAGCAAGUACAACUUAAAACGUCAGGUCGAGGUGUAGCGCAUGGAUUGGAAAAGAAAUGGGCUACAUUCUCUGCAACAGAGUACACGAAUGGUAUAAUGAAACCGUACCCGAAGGAGGAUUUAGCAGUAAGAAAACGAAUUAAGAGUGUU